GACGAACCAUGCAAACGUUAUUCGGAUUCACUGGGCUUAAAGCGUGCGUAGGCGGUCUUGUUAGUCAGGUGUGAAAGCCCUCAGCCUAACUGAGGAAUUGCGCUUGAUACUGCAUGACUAGAGAAUGAUAGAGGUGGGUGGAACUGAUGGUGGAGCGGUGAAAUGCGUUGAUAUCAUCAGGAACACCAGUGGCGAAGGCGACCC
rnacentral:rRNA from 1 species